rnacentral:rRNA from 1 species
GAGUUUGAUCCUGGCUCAGAUUGAACGCUGGCGGCAUGCUUUACACAUGCAAGUCGAACGGCAGCACGGGCUUCGGCCUGGUGGCGAGUGGCGAACGGGUGAGUAAUGCAUCGGAACGUACCGUGUAGUCGGGGGAUAACGUAGCGAAAGUUACGCUAAUACCGCAUACGCCCUGACGGGGGAAAGUCGGGGGACCGCAAGGCCUCACGCUAUAUGAGCGGCCGAUGUCGGAUUAGCUAGUUGGUAGGGUAAAGGCCUACCAAGGCGACGAUCCGUAGCCGGGUCUGAGAGGAUGAUCCGCCACACUGGGACUGAGACACGGCCCAGACUCCUACGGGAGGCAGCAGUGGGGAAUUUUGGACAAUGGGCGCAAGCCUGAUCCAGCCAUGCCGCGUGAGUGAAGAAGGCCUUCGGGUUGUAAAGCUCUUUCAGACGGAAAGAAAUCUCUCAGGAUAAUACCUUGGGAGGAUGACGGUACCGUAAGAAGAAGCACCGGCUAACUACGUG